UACAGAGGUCUCAAGCGUUGUUCGGAUUCAUUGGGCGUAAAGGGUGCGUAGGCGGCGCGGUAAGUCGGGUGUGAAAUCUCGGAGCUUAACUCCGAAACUGCAUUCGAUACUGCCGUGCUUGAGGACUGGAGAGGAGACUGGAAUUUACGGUGUAGCGGUGAAAUGCGUAGAUAUCGUAAGGAAGACCAGUGGCGAAGGCGGGUCUCUGGACAGUUCUUGACACUGAGGCACGAAGGCCAGGGGAGCAAACGGG
rnacentral:rRNA from 1 species